rnacentral:snoRNA from 1 species
AUGCACCUACUUAAUAGACAUAGAGCAAUUACUGACUGCUGUUAAGGUUUCCAUUACAGAUGCCCAAAAAAAGUAUCUCGUCCUUUCUGUCUAUCUCAUGGUGACAGCUUAGAUUGACUAGAAGAAUGCAGAG